rnacentral:lncRNA from 1 species
UGAAAAGCUAAGAGUGCUGAUCUCAUCACAGACAUAGCCAGCUCUUCAGUUCAGACCACCUGGAAACCCUCCCCAUGUCUUUUCAGAACAAUGUCCUAAGAACCAUAGGGGAAGUGGCCAUAAAAACCAUCUUUCCUUUGCAGACUGGGGUGGGGACUCUGGCCAAUGCCAUUCUGUUCUUCCAUAAUAUCUUUCCCAUCUUGACUGAGCAUCAAAUGAGGCCCACACACAAGAUUCUCACCCACAUGGCCGUGGCAAACUCCUUGGUUCUUCUUUCCACUGGAAUCCCCCACACAAUGGUGUCUUUUGUCCUAUGGAAACCCUUGUCCAGUCUUGAGUGUAAACUCGUGUUUACAGGUCUUAAAGUCCUGACCUGGUGAUCCGCCCGCGUGGACCUCCCAAAGUGCUGGAAUUACAGGCGUGAGCCACCACUCCUGGCCUAUGCCAGCAUUCUUUAAAGUU